CACGUAGGGUGCGAGCGUUGUCCGGAAUUAUUGGGCGUAAAGCGUCCGCAGGUGGCUGUGUAAGUCUGCUGUCAAAGAGCGAAGCUCAACUUCGUAAAGGCAGUGGAAACUACACGGCUAGAGUGCGUUCGGGGCAGAGGGAAUUCCUGGUGUAGCGGUGAAAUGCGUAGAGAUCAGGAAGAACACCGGUGGCGAAGGCGGUCUGCUGGGCCGAUACUGACGCUGAGGAGCGAAAGCGUGGGGAGCGAACAGG
rnacentral:rRNA from 1 species